AUGCAUAUUCAACUUUACAUAGAAGAAACGUUUGCUAAUGGAAGAAAGAAGAAAAGAAACAAUGUUUUGAAUCAAAAAAAAGGAAAAGAAGGUCGAAAAAAAGCAAUAAUUGCGCCGCAUCACUCUGUGGAUCCCACUGUACACACCAGUCGGUCUUCCCGUCCACCGCCAUUCCUCCAAUCGCCACUACCCACUCCUAGCGCGGUUCCGAUUAGCAUGACGUCAACAUCACCACACAAAUCUCCUUUUCCGCUGUACCAGAGAUAA
rnacentral:lncRNA from 1 species